rnacentral:rRNA from 1 species
GGUGAGUAACACGUGGAUAACCUACCUAUAAGACUGGGAUAACUUCGGGAAACCGGAGCUAAUACCGGAUAAUAUUUUGAACCGCAUGGUUCAAAGUGAAAGACGGUCUUGCUGUCACUUAUAGAUGGAUCCGCGCUGCAUUAGCUAGUUGGUAAGGUAACGGCUUACCAAGGCAACGAUGCAUAGCCGACCUGAGAGGGUGAUCGGCCACACUGGAACUGAGACACGGUCCAG